rnacentral:rRNA from 1 species
UGACGGAGUUUUCGGACAACGAAAGGGAAUGCUUAGUGGCGGACGGGUGAGUAACGCGUGAGUAACCUGCCUUGGAGUGGGGAAUAACAGCCGGAAACGGCUGCUAAUACCGCAUGAUGUAUCUGGAUCGCAUGGUUCUGGAUACCAAAGAUUUAUCGCUCUGAGAUGGACUCGCGUCUGAUUAGCUAGUUGGUGAGGUAAUGGCUCACCAAGGCGACGAUCAGUAGCCGGACUGAGAGGUUGGCCGGCCACAUUGGGACUGAGACACGGCCCAGACUCCUACGGGAGGCAGCAGUGGGGAAUAUUGGGCAAUGGGCGAAAGCCUGACCCAGCAACGCCGCGUGAAGGAAGAAGGCCCUCGGGUUGUAAACUUCUUUUGUCAGGGACGAAGCAAGUGACGGUACCUGACGAAUAAGCCACGGCUAACUACGUGCCAGCAGCCGCGGUAAUACGUAGGUGGCAAGCGUUAUCCGGAUUUACUGGGUGUAAAGGGCGUGUAGGCGGGAGUGCAAGUCAGAUGUGAAAACUAUGGGCUCAACCCAUAGCCUGCAUUUGAAACUGUACUUCUUGAGUGAUGGAGAGGCAGGCGGAAUUCCCUGUGUAGCGGUGAAAUGCGUAGAUAUAGGGAGGAACACCAGUGGCGAAGGCGGCCUGCUGGACAUUAACUGACGCUGAGGCGCGAAAGCGUGGGGAGCAAACAGGAUUAGAUACCCUGGUAGUCCACGCCGUAAACGAUGGAUACUAGGUGUGGGGGGUCUGACCCCCUCCGUGCCGCAGUUAACACAAUAAGUAUCCCACCUGGGGAGUACGAUCGCAAGGUUGAAACUCAAAGGAAUUGACGGGGGCCCGCACAAGCGGUGGAGUAUGUGGUUUAAUUCGAAGCAACGCGAAGAACCUUACCAGGACUUGACAUCCUACUAACGAAGCAGAGAUGCAUAAGGUGCCCUUCGGGGAAAGUAGAGACAGGUGGUGCAUGGUUGUCGUCAGCUCGUGUCGUGAGAUGUUGGGUUAAGUCCCGCAACGAGCGCAACCCUUAAUUGUUAGUUGCUACGCAAGAGCACUCUAACCGAGACUGCCGUUGACAAA